AGAGUUUGAUCCUGGCUCAGGACGAACGCUGGCGGCGCGCCUAACACAUGCAAGUCGAACGAGCGAGAGAGAGCUUGCUUUCUCGAGCGAGUGGCGAACGGGUGAGUAACGCGUGAGGAAUCUGCCUCAAAGAGGGGGACAACAGUUGGAAACGACUGCUAAUACCGCAUAAGCCCACGGUGCCGCAUGGCACAGAGGGAAAAGGAGUAAUCCGCUUUGAGAUGGCCUCGCGUCCGAUUAGCUAGUUGGUGAGGUAACGGCCCACCAAGGCGACGAUCGGUAGCCGGACUGAGAGGUUGAACGGCCACAUUGGGACUGAGACACGGCCCAGACUCCUACGGGAGGCAGCAGUGGGGAAUAUUGCACAAUGGGGGAAACCCUGAUGCAGCGACGCCGCGUGGAGGAAGAAGGUCUUCGGAUUGUAAACUCCUGUUGUUGGGGAAGAUAAUGACGGUACCCAACAAGGAAGUGACGGCUAACUACGUGCCAGCAGCCGCGGUAAAACGUAGGUCACAAGCGUUGUCCGGAAUUACUGGGUGUAAAGGGAGCGCAGGCGGGAAGACAAGUUGGAAGUGAAAUCUAUGGGCUCAACCCAUAAACUGCUUUCAAAACUGUUUUUCUUGAGUAGUGCAGAGGUAGGCGGAAUUCCCGGUGUAGCGGUGGAAUGCGUAGAUAUCGGGAGGAAGACCAGUGGCGAAGGCGGCCUACUGGGCACCAACUGACGCUGAGGCUCGAAAGUGUGGGUAGCGAACAGGAUUAGAUACCCUGGUAGUCCACACCGUAAACGAUGAUUACUAGGUGUUGGAGGAUUGACCCCUUCAGUGCCGCAGUUAACACAAUAAGUAAUCCACCUGGGGAGUACGACCGCAAGGUUGAAACUCAAAGGAAUUGACGGGGGCCCGCACAAGCAGUGGAGUAUGUGGUUUAAUUCGACGCAACGCGAAGAACCUUACCAAGUCUUGACAUCCCUUGACAGGCAUAGAAAUAUGUUUUCUCUUCGGAGCAAGGAGACAGGUGGUGCAUGGUUGUCGUCAGCUCGUGUCGUGAGAUGUUGGGUUAAGUCCCGCAACGAGCGCAACCCUUACCAUUAGUUGCUACGCAAGAGCACUCUAAUGGGACUGCCGUUGACAAAACGGAGGAAGGUGGGGAUGACGUCAAAUCAUCAUGCCCCUUAUGACCUGGGCUACACACGUACUACAAUGGCAAUAUAACAGAGGGAAGCAAUACAGCGAUGUGGAGCAAAUCCCCAAAAAUUGUCCCAGUUCAGAUUGCAGGCUGCAACUCGCCUGCAUGAAGUCGGAAUUGCUAGUAAUCGCAGAUCAGCAUGCUGCGGUGAAUACGUUCCCGGGCCUUGCACACACCGCCCGUCA
rnacentral:rRNA from 1 species